CUUGAAGGAGAAGAAUAUUGUGGUGAUGUGAGUGCUUAUUCUCCGGGUGUCUUGCACUUGAAGGGCCUGCCAACACCAACACCAAAAGGAAAGCACUUGCGCUUCCCAAUUGAAGGGCCUGCCAACACCAACACCAAAAGGAAAGCACUUGCGCUUAUUCUCCGGGUGUCUUGCACUUGAAGGGCCUGCCAACACCAACACCAAAAGGAAAGCACUUGCGCUUAUUCUCCGGGUGUCUUGCACUUGAAGGGCCUGCCAACACCAACACCAAAAGGAAAGCACUUGCGCUUCCCAAUUGAAGACUGAGCUUGAGCGAGCGAGCGAGCAGCAUCUGAAUCCCCCUCCCUCCCCCUCUUAUAUAUGGUGAUGGUUGUGGUUAGCAAUUGAAAUGUUGCUUUUAAUUUGUGCUGAUGGAUGUCUUUCUUGUGACACCCUGUCUGAGGAUUACUUUUGUCUUUAAUGUCUGCCUGC
rnacentral:lncRNA from 1 species